rnacentral:rRNA from 1 species
UACGAAGGUGGCUAGCGUUGUCCGGAAUCACUGGGCGUAAAGCGCACGCAGGCGGAUCGAUAAGUCGGGUGUGAAAGCCCGGGGCUCAACCUCGGAAUUUCAUUGGAUACUGGGGGUCUCGAGUCCAGGAGAGGUGAGUGGAAUUCCUAGUGUAGAGGUGAAAUUCGUAGAUAUUAGGAAGAACACCAGUGGCGAAGGCGGCUCUCUGGUCCGGUACUGACGCUCAGGUGCGAAAGCGUGGGGAGCAAACAGG